CCUCGCUACUAUGCCACUCUCGCUACUAUGCCACUUUUGCUCGGUCCCGGUAGGUGGCAUAGUAGCGAGAUUUGACUGUACUAGCAACUAAACUUUGCAAUCUAUUUAUAUACCUUUCCGUACAGUACAGCAAUUAGCCCCUGAUGCACCAGCCCAGCCUGCAUAAGCUUUCAGAUUUUGAAGGGCCCCGAUCGGGGGGACGGGUGAAAGUAAGGGCUACGGGCUAUCCCGCUCCUAACUGACCGAACGCCCAUAGGGCGUAGCCGUUACGCGCUGACAGUGACCCGUAUGUCGGACUUUUCACUCCGCCCUCUGACCUCGCUCCCGCAUUUGCUGACCAGCUGUCGGACUCCACACUCGCCGCCCGAUGGGCUUCUACCUGCAACAACCGCUUUGGUCAUCGCACUCUCGGUGAGUUUGUGAAUUAAGUGUAAAGUGUACCCUAAAAUUCUGUAAAAUAUUAUAACAUGAAUUAUUCAUACCAGUUGAAACUGUCUGUACAGUAUCAGGAUUUCUGGUAUUAGUUUAAUUUAAUUUGUAUAGUUCAGCCCGAAUCGUCGAUUUGUUGCGUGCUACUUCCGCUUUGUGCCAUGUGCUCGCUGUAGGAAGAUGCCGCAUGGCUAACACAAGGAAAUGCUGAAGAUCGGGGAUCGUGCUUAGUCAAAGCAUUGUAAUAAUGCCGACUACAAAACAGUCAACAGAUAACUCCACAGCGUGGCUGAAGAUGAGCCAAGCUGAAUGUAUAGUGAUAUUCAAGAUCCUGGAAGGGUUGUAAGAAAAUCAACUGACAUGGUAUAUGACGAGACUGGUUAUUCCCAAUCUGGAAUGAGUGGAAUUAUAAAAGAAGAACUAAAAUAUUUCAUCACUCUGCAUAUGAAACAGGAUUAUUGCUGUACCACAGCCUGGGGAUAUUAUAUCUGCCACUGCUUACAAAUAGUUUGGAAGUAACUGGCAAGAAUGGAGGAACAAGUCCAAGGACAAAGCCAUCUGAUGAUGGGUCAUGCUGUUGAGGAGCACAGAGAAAUGUUUCGAAGCUUGCUCCACAUAUGAAUCAAGUUACGAAAUGUAGGUGAACAAGGAAUGACUCCAGCAGCAAUCCCAUGUUUCAGGUGAGAAAUUUGAUAGGCUGGAAGAGGAAUCUGUGUGUAGAGAAUUUAGGGGGGAAAGUGGCUGUUGUGAAAUCUAAUUAAAGCUUUUUUCGCAACAACUAGCCUGAAGACUUUGAAGACUCAAAUUCUUUGUUGUAAAUAAAUGUUAAAACCAU